UGCCCAGCAACUCCUAUCCCUACCUCCACGCCGUACCGGCCGGAAACUAUGAGCAACCUUAGGGAAGAUCGGGUAACCAACCCCGGUGGGAACUUUGGUCAUAGGCUGACAGGGAAGG
rnacentral:ribozyme from 1 species